GUAGGUGAACCAGCGGAAGGAUCAUUACCGAGUGCGGGUCUUUAUGGCCCAACCUCCCAAACCCCAAUGUGAACGAUUGUACCAAUCUGUUGCCUCGGCGGGCCCGCCAGCGUUCUCUGGCCGCCGGGCGGCGACUCGCAGCCCCGGAUCCCAUGGCGCCCGCCGGAGGACCCCAACAUCCAAACUCUGUUUUUCUCUCCGAAACGGCUCCCGUCGCAGCUCUGUUUUAGUGUUGAUCUGAGCCUUUCUCGGCGACCCUAGCGGGCGUCACGAAAAUGAAUCAAAACUUUCAACAACGGAUCUCUUGGUUCCGGCAUCGAUGAAGAACGCAGCGAAAUGCGAUAACUAAUGUGAAUUGCAGAAUUCAGUGAAUCAUCGAAUCUUUGAACGCACAUUGCGCCCGCCAGGUAUUCCGGCGGGCAUGCCUGUCCGAGCGUCAUUGCAACCCUCGAACCCCUCCGGCGGGUCGGCGUUGGGCACUCGGCCCCCGGCUCACCGGGCGACGCCCCCGAAAGACAGCGGCGGUCACGCCGCAGUCCGCUCCUCGAGCAGUAGUGGGGCAUCAUCUUCCGCACCGGGAGGCCCGGCGCGGCGCACAGCCGUACGCAAACACCCGCAAACUUCUGUUUUUAAAGGUUGACCUCGGAUCAGGUAGGAAUACCCGCUGAACUUAAGCAUAUCAAUAAGCGGAGGAAAA
rnacentral:rRNA from 1 species